AUGGGAUUCCUAAAAACCCAUGCGCUAAAUCGAUUUGUGUGAAAACUGAGGUAGCUUGCAUUCCUCUAAUUGACAGGCAUCUUUUUAUCUCAGAAAAUCAAACAGUUCGCACGGGAUCUUUAAAAACCUAAAUACACGCGGAUGAAGUCGCGGGCAUCCUCUAGUUAUCCUUUUACAACUUAUGCGCGUAGUAUGAGAUUUUAAGUCUUACAAAAUUCGACCUUCAAAACAUAAUAACGUCAAGAUUAAAAUGGACCUAAAGGCCCUUGAUUUAAGGUCAAAUAUUCAGUAUUCAGUAUUCACUGAUUUCAAUUUUGCCGUUCAACCGGUUCACCGGUUUCAAUGUUUCCGUUCACACCACUGGCUGUAGAUGUAUGGACGAAAUUGAACUUUAAAACAAGGCUGUUUAGAGUCCAUUUUCUUUUAAC